AUUGAACGCUGGCGGCAGGCUUAACACAUGCAAGUCGAGCGGAGAUGAGGUGCUUGCACCUUAUCUUAGCGGCGGACGGGUGAGUAAUGCUUAGGAAUCUGCCUAUUAGUGGGGGACAACAUUCCGAAAGGAAUGCUAAUACCGCAUACGCCCUACGGGGGAAAGCAGGGGAUCUUCGGACCUUGCGCUAAUAGAUGAGCCUAAGUCGGAUUGGCUAGUUGGUGGGGUAAAGGCCUACCAAGGCGACGAUCUGUAGCGGGUCUGAGAGGAUGAUCCGCCACACUGGGACUGAGACACGGCCCAGACUCCUACGGGAGGCAGCAGUGGGGAAUAUUGGACAAUGGGCGGAAGCCUGAUCCAGCCAUGCCGCGUGUGUGAAGAAGGCCUUUUGGUUGUAAAGCACUUUAAGCGAGGAGGAGGCUACCUGGAUUAAUACUCUAGGAUAGUGGACGUUACUCGCAGAAUAAGCACCGGCUAACUCUGUGCCAGCCGCCGCUGUAAAAC
rnacentral:rRNA from 1 species